rfam:Heterocephalus glaber contig49305, whole genome shotgun sequence.
GGAUAUGAGAUUGAUCUGGCUGCAACAUCUGUCACCCCAUUGAUCACCAGGGUUGAUUUGGCUGAUCUGGCUGGCUAGGCGGGUGUCCCCUUCCUCCCUCACUGCUCCAUGUGUGUCCCUCCUGAAGCUGCACACUCAGUUGGAAGAGGACGACCACCCCUGAUAGAGGAGGACCGUUUCCUCCGUCAAGGGUAUACAAAUAGCUGCGCUCCCCUGCUAGAACCUCCAAAACAAGCUCUCAAGAAAAGAGCAUGAAACUUUCUUAUUUAGUUUUCUUUUCUUUAGACUUUAGGAUGAAAACCUUU